rnacentral:lncRNA from 1 species
UAGUGUGGACAUGUAAAUGUAUAGAGAUAAUGUAUAUGUACAGUGUAUAGAAUGGUGCUUGACUUAUAAGACUUGUAAUCCCUUUGUAGAGUCACAUGAUCAGUUUAUGUAUGUUUCUUUAUUGUUGUAUGUGUAUGAGCAAAACCAGGCUUAACAUUAUGAGUUUGAUCCGCCUAGAGCCAUGAGGAGCUCUAGUAGGGAUUGGUAGAGAACAGAGAGAGUGCAUGCACAGGUUAAGCCUUGGAAUGAAGAAAAGUUUUAUGUGUUUUACAGAAAAUGUAUGAUCAUGUAUGGGAUUUCACAGGUAUACACAGGAUAGCAGGCUUACUACGGG